AAAGGUAGGCUUUUCAGUAGGUGACCUGCGGAAGGAUCUUA
rnacentral:rRNA from 1 species